GAUCCUGGCUCAGGAUGAACGCUAGCGACAGGCCUAACACAUGCAAGUCGAGGGGCAGCGAAGAGGUAGCAAUACCUUUGUCGGCGACCGGCGCACGGGUGAGUAACACGUAUGCAAUCCACCUGUAACAGGGGGAUAACCCGGAGAAAUCCGGACUAAUACCCACAUAAUAGUGGGCGCUCCGCAUGGAGACGCCAUUAAAGAGAGCUAAGUUUUGGUUACAGACGAGCAUGCGCU
rnacentral:rRNA from 1 species